CCCCUUCCAAUUCCGGCCACGCGUCCUUAUAUAGAGCCUGCCGGCUUCGGCCGGCUAUGGCAAUAAACGGACGAUGUAAUAAGCCCAUUGGACCCGGGGGCGGUACCCGGCGCCUCCACCAGAAUGCAGCCCGCCGGGCUGCCUUGUGGCGGGGGCGAAAUAGGAUCGACAAGGGUGUAAAGAUCGCUCUUUUGCCCGGCAUAGUACCACCGUUAUCGGGCUGACAAAGUAGUUGCAAACGACAACUAUGCGGAAGCGCGUCUCGCCGCUUAAUGCGGUGCGAUAGCUUCAAAUCAAGUCUUAGGCCGUCGCAGGUCUAAGCGGGGUUCGGAGGCACCUGGCAACAGAAGCCUCCACU
rnacentral:tmRNA from 1 species